rfam:Dipodomys ordii contig_42243, whole genome shotgun sequence.
GGUGGCUCAGUGGUAGAGCACUUGCCUCGCAUGCACGAGGCCCUGUGUUCAAUUCCUCAGCACCA